rnacentral:rRNA from 1 species
GUCCACGCCGUAAACGAUGGGUGCUAGAUGUAGCUGGUAUUGACCCCGGCUGCGUCGUAGCUAACGCGUUAAGCACCCCGCCUGGGGAGUACGGCCGCAAGGCUAAAACUCAAAGGAAUUGACGGGGCCCGCACAAGCGGUGGAGCAUGUGGUUCAAUUCGACGCAACGCGAAGAACCUUACCUGGGUUGGAACCCUCCAGAAGUCCUUAGAGAUGAGGAUGUGCCCGCAAGGGAACUGGAUGUCCAGGUGCUGCAUGGCUGUCGU